ensembl:lincRNA
CCUGCCCCGGGGGUUGCAGCUAGAAAGCUGAGCUCUGCGGAGGGGGAGGGGCUGCAGGGUGACUCGGUGGCCCAGGGCCAAUGGCUAAUGAAUCACUCCUUGCUCUGUUAUGAAGCUUCCCUAGAAACCAGGGAGGAGUGGUUUUCCAAGAGCUUAGGGGUUGGCCGACGGGAGGAGGUUUGGGGAGAGAAGUGCAGCGUUCUCCACACUUGGUCCUCUGUCUCUCAUCGUCCCAUGAUCCUGACUUACAUCCUGUUCUCAUCAACCGUGAUCUAACUCAGAAAAUGUGUCAUUGUCAAGUGGACACGAGUAAUUCGGUUGGGUGGCAGCAGUGGACGUCAUUGAUGCCUGUUGGUGAGUCUCUGAGCAAAGAUCUACCUGGACCUACACUGAGAUGGCCUGUCCUCUUCUGGGUCCACACCUGGGUGGAAACGAAGAGCUCCCGACUCCUGCAAAAACCCACAGAUAACCUGAGGAAUCAAGUCUCUCCUGAUGGAAGAGAACAGCAAAACUUAGGAAGCAUCACUUCCAGACAUUUGGCACAUGGAUCCAAUCUAGGAUCCCGUGUUACAUACGUGUCAUGGCCGCUGACUGUACCACCCAUGUGGGGGAAGGUCCUACAUGUUUCCUGAUCUUUAGCGACCUAUUUGUGAAGAAUAGCGAUAUGUCACAGUGUGAACGAUAAUUACAGGGGCGACCUAUUUAUACUUCACAAGGAAGACCUUGAUUCUGAACAUCACCAUGAACUAUCAGUGCCGAAGCAGGGAUUAGAAAGCAUGCCGCAUUAGGACUGCUUCCAUCGAAUCUCACUCGUAACCUUGAACUUUUAAAAAUGUCAUAGAAACCGUUUGAUACAGAUUAUAAAUUAUACCUCUUUACCAAGCGUCGUCUGCGUUGCAACGUGUACGUACUCUAAUGUAACCUCAUUUUCCCUUCAGGGGGUAAUUUGGAGAUUAAUUCAAUUCCGUUUUAUUGCAUUUAUUUUAGCCAAGAGUCCGUCAUUUUGGGGUCUGAGCUCAGUUUUGCAAAGCUCUUGGAAAUGGCAAGAACAUGGCUGCUUUGUCACCGGUGUAUUCCUGAAAGCGAAUUUCUGCAUCCGGUACUUGGAAUACAUUCUUGAAAAGGAAUUUUGUCUUGGGAGUAAAGACAACUUUCAUGUGGCCAUGUUAACUGUAUUAGAAUAGAGUAGGGGAAUAGUACAAUCUCUUCUAUCUGCCUAGAAAAUGUCAUCUAAAUGGACUGGCAUGCGAGUUCCUUAAUCUUCGCAAAAAGUCAGCCUUUUUUUAUUAUUUUCUUCUGAAGAUAUCCUGAAAAUAUGAAUGGCUUGCAAGCAGGCCCUAGGGCUACCUGGGUGAGCAUUUUAUGGACCAAAUCUAAAUCCUUGGAAAAUUAUGGCUUGAAAAAAAAAAAAAAAAAGGAUCCUAUUUUGUUACUAUUCCUACUUUAUCUUCAGAGUACUCGAUCCAUGAAUGUUAAAUCCGGGGGCUCCUGGGUGGCUCAGUCAGUGAAGCAUCUGCCUUAGGCUCCCGUCCUGAUCCCAGGGUCCAGGGACCCCAUAUCGCACUCCCUGCUCAGCAAGGAGCCUGCUGCUUCCUCUGCCCCUCCCCAUGCUCAUACAUGGUCUCCCUCUCUGCCACAUAAAUGAAUAAAAUAUUUUUAAACCAUGGAACACCAAAUCCAAUUCGAAGAGUGUAGACCUGGUUCUUGGCUAUUAAUUAAGCUUUGGGAUUUCAUGGGUUUGCUUAUAAACCCAAGCAUGCAUUGGACAAAUAUUUAUUUGAUGCACCGGCCGGUAAGUCACGGGGAAGAUAGCAGCCAACAAAACCGUGCUCUGUGCACAGGGAGCUGAAGGUCCUGUGGGGGAGGUCAGGCGACAAUCCAGUAAGCACAUGGUGUGAUGGCAGGUUUCCCUGGUUCCAGACAUUCUAGCGAAACAAGGGGCCGGGAAAUUAGGGCUCACCACUCAUUUUUUGUCAGGGAAGCUUUACUGGAGUUCAUUCGUGCUCAUGCAUGUAUAUAUUGUCCAUUGAUGCUUUGGGCUGACUCAGCAGAGUUAAAGAUCCUGCUAUCAUUGACAUGGCCCAUGGUGUAAGUUGAAGGGAUACAAUGUGUCGACUUCAUACGUUUAUACGUUGCAACAAAAUAACCAGCAGCAUCGGAUUAGCUAACCGCUCCUUACAUGAUGUGAUUACAGUGUGUGUGUUGAGCACAUUUCAUAUCUACUGUCUUUGCAUUUGUAACAAUGUAUCGUACGGUAUGUGUUAACAAUGACAACCGUGCAGCUCUAGAUCCCCUGAACUUAUUUAACUCGGCAGUUGUGCCCUUUGGCCAAUGUUCAUGGCAGCAUUGUUCAUACUGGCUAGAAGCUGGGGGCAGUCCUCAGGCCUGUCCCUGGUGCAGAAAGACAAUGUGGCCCGUGGGUCUAAAGAAAUUAUAUUCUGCAACUGAGAGGACACAUCCCGAUACAAAGUUACAGCUGGGUGAGCCUGGAAAGCAUUAUGCUAAGUGAACGAAGCCCUACGCAGAAGGCCGAAUCUUAUAGGGUUUUUUUUUAUCUGAAAUUUCCAGCCAAGUCACAUCAGCGGAGGACUAGGAAUAAGUAGAUGAGUAUUUACCUGGGCUGGGUGUGGUCUUGGCGCAAGGCUACUUUUGGAAGGGACGUAACUUUUCUAAAAUGGGUUUGCGGUGAAGAUUGCACAACUGUAUAGAUUGACUAAAAAUCACUGAAUUGUAUCUUACAAUGGAUGAAAAUAUGGUGUGUAAAUUAAACCUCUAUGAAGUGCUAUAAAUGUGUUUUUUUUUUUUUAAUGGUGGCAGAGAUGCCCUGACCUACCAUGCCUAAAAUACCUACUAUCUGACCAUGUAUAGAAAUAGUUUGCCAACCCCUGGUGUUGCUUAAAUUUUAUUAUACAUCAAUGGGGGGGUCUCUCUGAGGACAUGAACUUUUAGCAACAGAGUCUACAAUUCAGUAUGAGAGAAAUCCGUGGAUAUAUUUGGGGAAAGAUGUUUUCCUAUUAAAAAAUAACCAAUAUGUGGUUUGUUUUGGGGACAAAAAAUAAAAGAAGGGAGGAAGGAAGCAUGUAGGAAUGUCAUGUGUCUGGGCCGGGUCCAUAUACAAGGGAACAUUAGGCCUCCAUCAGAAAGGACGAAUCCCCAACUUUUGUAGCAACCUGGACGGGACUGGAGGAGAUGAUGCUGAGUGAAAGAAGUCAAGCAGAGAGAGUCAGUUAUCAUAGGGUUUCACUGAUUUGUGGAGCAGAAGGAAUAACACAGAGGACAUGGGGAGAUGGAGAGGAGAAGUGAGUUGGGGGAAGUUGGAGGGGGAGAUGAAUCAUGAGAGACUGUGGACUCUGAGAAACAAAUUGAGGGUUUUGGAGGGGAGGUGGAGGGGGCGAUGCGUGAGCCUGGUUAUAGGUAUUGAGGACGGUGCAUAUUGCAGGGAGCACUGGGUGUGGUGCCUAAACAAUGAAUCUUGGAGCACUGUAAAAAUAAAAUUUAAAAAAAAAAAGUAAAAUGAAUAAAGUAAUUAAAUUUUAAAAUAAAGGCAGUUUAUAAUGUGCAUAAGAGAACCUGUUAUAAUGUGCAAAAGAUAACUUUUGAUUAGGAUUGCAGUGAAUCUCAACAGAUCAAGUUGGGACAAAUAGCCAUCUUGACAAUAUUGAGUUUUCCUAUCCAUGAACACGGAAUAUCUUCCCAUGUACUGUGUUCUCCUAUUAUUUUUCAUAGAGUUUUGUAGUUUUCCUCAUAUAGAUCCUGUGGUAGACGGUUUUGUUAGAUGUGUGGCAAAGUAUUUCAUUUUUCGGGCUCUCUGUGCUGCUUCAUUAUUGGUGUACAGAAAUGCAACAGAUUUCUGCAUAUUGAUUUUAGAUCCUGUGACUUUCUUGAAUCAACAGUACCAGUUUUAGCAAUUUUUUGAUGCACCUCAGGAAUAAAUCCCCCUUGAUCAUGUUGAGUGAUUUUUUUUAAACUGUAUUUUUGUGUUUGAUUUGCUAGUAUUUCAUUGGAGAAUUUUCUGUCCAUGUUCAUGUGGGAUUUUAGCCUGUAAGUUCUCUUUUACUGGUGUGUAUCUGGUUUGGGAUCAGGGUAAUACUGGCCUCAUUAAAUCAGCUUAGAAGUUCUCCUUUUUCUCUGUUUUGUUUUUUUGUUUUUAAUAGUUUGAGAAGAGUGCAUAUUAACUCUUCUUUAAAUAUUUAGUAGAAUUCACCUUUGAAGCCCUCUGCCCCUGGAUUUGUUGUUCUUGUUGUUGAGAGUUCUUUGGUUACUAAUUCAAUUUCUUUCCUGGCAAUCAGUCCGUUCAAGUUUUCUAGUUCUUCC